rnacentral:misc_RNA from 1 species
AUUUUUUUUUGUUAAUCGAUAUAAGUUGAAUGUCGGACUGUGUCCCUUUUUGUCAUCUAAGACUUUGAAUAAUUAUUAUGAAGACGUCAAACAUGAUUUAAGCAGGUAGAAUUAUGAAUCAGCUCAUUAUAUUAUCACUUUAUUUUUGAUGUAUUAAGUUGUAAUGCGGAUCGCGAAUGAAAUUAUUGUGUAUCGUUAUUAUUUUACGAACUUA